AAUAACAAUGUGUCAAGCAUUAAAAAAAUCAGGAUCAAUAAGUACAAAUGUGCUAGACAUUAAUGUCAUAGUUUGUGCCUUCAAAGUAUCCUGAUGGUCAUGGCAAGGUCACGUCUUUAGGACAUACCGUGUUAUUGUGCUGUUACAGUUUCAGCAGUAAUCAAAUAUCAACAUACACUCGGAUAUUAUAAAGUUUAUCCAAAAAGUUUAUCCGAAACAUGUACAUGUUCAAGUUCAAACAGUUCUUCUGCUUGCCUUCAGGGCAUGCAGAAUUAAAGCAUUUCAUUUCAGAGGUCCGCAUCUGCACUGAGCAUUUCCGAUAUAACCACUGCUGGACGACACGGUACAUGGAUUUAAACUGUAACAUUAUCAUAAGGAAUGUGGUCCCUUAAACACCGCGGACUGAACAAGUUUGUCUUUUAUGAAUGAAUGAAUCUUCUGCUGCCCCGACCUGUAGUUCCGAACCAAACACAACUCUUGAGAUGAUCCUGCUCAUAAAAUAUUCCCAGAUUACCAGACCUCAGUUUUCAUGGCCAACAGAACAUUAACAUGCUUAUUGCUCUCGCCGAUUAUCCUCACUAUGUACGGUACAUUAGCGAACUGUACGAUUGGCCAACCCCCUGCCUGUGCAAUCAACAGAGAGCGUGAAUGAAUGAUCAGCCAUUAGCAGGUCGGGUGUGAACUGUGAAAAUGGGCUCUCACACCAAUGACUGCAGGAGGCCUUGAUUUGCUUUAGCCUAGCUUAGCAACCUGCUAGCAAGGACCGAGCGGUUGUUAACACUGUGGCAGUGCGUGAGCUAGCGUUAGCCUGCCCAAUGUAAUGCAGUGGAAUACGGACUAGUGUAGCGUGUUGAAGCCCAGUCUAGUGGAGUGCUGUGUGCAAGAUCAUAGUAAGACUCCUUGCUAGCAUAUGCUUGUGUUUAAUGCAGCGACCUGCUUCUGCAUGGAGGUAAAUGAAGCUUUUAAGCAGGGCGGAGGGAAGGGGGACCGCUGAAAAGAUUAAUUGACUUUCUACAGAGCUUCACUUAUCCUCCUCUGGCACCUUUGACUUGCUAUGGUUAUAGCUGCUACCCCAGCAGGAUCCCUUCUUGUCAGCCACUAAUGCUGUGACUGACAUCCAUCAACUAUGAGCCACCACAAGAUGGGUAAACAUGAUAGAGGGCAAGAACUGGUUGUGUCCCGGCCAUUUGAAUGACUCCUCAACUGAAAUGAGGGUAACCUGGAUGGCGACGUCAACACAGACCUCAAUUUAGACAAAAUUAAGGAGGACAAGGAUGACACCACCUUCCAGCAGUUGACCUGGCGUGUAUUUACAUUUCUCAGGAGGUGCACAUCAGAAGAAAGGGUUCCGGUUAUGUCGGAUUAUGGCUCUAAAGGGACAACUUCAAGUAAGCAGUGGAAAGAGAGCAAAAGGAUGGACUAUGAUUGGUUGCCAUCUAGUGGCUUUAACUCUGGCUUGCUGCUGCUGCUGCUGCACCAUGAAGGUUUAAAAUGUUGGGUUUAGUAGGUUUCACUCCUAAAAAAGGCAGGUAAUAAGAGAUUUCCUCUACCCCUCACAGGCAAGUUGGUGUCAAACAUUUUUCUCAGUAUUUGUAGAUAUUAGGAAAUGGUUAUUAAUGACUGGAAAAUAAUUUCUUUUGGUGUGACCCUUCUUAUUAAAUAUAAAACUACACUGACUUCACAGCAAUUAAAUGGAACAGGACCUUUUGUUUAUGUUAUGAAAAUAUAGAUUUUUACAAGCCAAAUCCUUAUUAGGCAAUGGCUGAUUGAUUGCAUGCAGGUUAAUGUCAUCCAUCACGUUACUGGGAGCGCUUCUGUCACAAGUCAGAAUAACAAAUCAAACCAGCUCUUCAUACACUUCAAUGUCAUUUUCCGUUCUUUUCCUUUAUUUGUAAAACUUUGGCAUUCUGGCCAAUAUCUUCAACAAUUGGCUGGGUAUAGACAGUAUGUACACAGCAAUGGAUGCACAACACAAUGUAAUAUGUACAGUCCCAAUAUAUUUGCUAAACAAUAUAUCGGUCUUCCUGGUUGCUGACAGUUGUACAACCAAGCCUGCUGAUACAACAUACUGUUGGUUUUGCACAACAGUACGUACAGUCUAAAUUAAUAAACAAUAUAUACAACAUUACUUUUACGGUUGUACAACACACAUACUCGUACUGCAUACUUAUAGUUUCAUCAGUUCGCCAGCCACACCUUUUGCCGUUGUGCAGUGCAACAAAACCCACAGUUUUUGAAUUGGCAAACAAAACUGUGUCCAGAAUGUAUUGUCUCUACUAGAGAUGGCACGAUACCACUUUUUUAUGUCCGAUACCGAUACCGAUAUCAUAA